UACGUAGGUGGCAAGCGUUGUCCGGAUUUACUGGGCGUAAAGAGCGCGCAGGCGGUCGGAUAAGUCGAAUGUGAAAGCCCCCGGCUCAACUGGGGAGGGUCAUUCGAUACUGUUCGACUCGAAGGCAGGAGAGGGAAGUGGAAUUCCCGGUGUAGUGGUGAAAUGCGUAGAUAUCGGGAGGAACACCGGUGGCGAUGGCGGUUCUCUGGGCCUGACCUGACGCUGAGGAGCGAAAGCGUGGGGAGCGAACAGG
rnacentral:rRNA from 1 species